GUGCUCGCUUGGGCAGCACAUGUACUAAAACUGGAAAGAUGCGGAGAAGAUUAGGACGGCCCUUGUGCAUGACAAGGAUGACAGUAAAUUUGUGAAGACUUCCAUAUUAUU
rnacentral:snRNA from 1 species